GGAUGGGUCUGCGGCCGAUUAGGUAGUUGGUUAGGUAACGGCUUACCAAGCCAUUGAUCGGUACGGGUUGUGAGAGCAAGAGCCCGGAGAUGGAACCUGAGACAAGGUUCCAGGCCCUACGGGGUGCAGCAGGCGCGAAACCUCCGCAAUGUGAGAAAUCGCGACGGGGGGAUCCCAAGUGCCAUUCUUAACGGGAUGGCUUUUCAUUAGUGUAAAGAGCUUUUGGAAUAAGGGCUGGGCAAGACCGGUGCCAGCCGCCGCGGUAACACCGGCAGCUCUAGUGGUAGCAGUUUUUAUUGGGCCUAAAGCGUCCGUAGCCGGUUUAAUAAGUCUCUGGUGAAAUCCUGUAGCUUAACUGUGGGAAUUGCUGGAGAUACUAUUAGACUUGAGACCGGGAGAGGUUAGAGGUACUCCCAGGGUAGAGGUGAAAUUCUGUAAUCCUGGGAGGACCGCCUGUUGCGAAGGCGUCUAACUGGAACGGUUCUGACGGUGAGGGACGAAAGUUAGGGGCGCGAACCGGAUUAGAUACCCGGGUAGUCCUAACCGUAAACGAUGCGGACUUGGUGUUGGGGUGGCUUUGAGCUGCUCCAGUGCCGAAGGGAAGCUGUUAAGUCCGCCGCCUGGGAAGUACGGUCGCAAGACUGAAACUUAA
rnacentral:rRNA from 1 species